rnacentral:rRNA from 1 species
GAAAUCAGUUCAGCACUAAGUCACUUUGUCUAUAUGGCAAAUGUGAGAUGCAGUGUAUGGAACAUCAAUAUUCUAGUAUGAGAAAUUAACGAUUUAAGUCCUUCUUAAAUGAGGCCAUUUACCCAUAGAGGGUGCCAGGCCCGUAUAACGUUAAUGAUUACUAGAUGGUGUUUCCAAAGAGUCGUGUUGCUUGAUAGUGCAGCACUAAGUGGGUGGUAAACUCCAUCUAAAACUAAAUAUAACCAUGAGACCGAUAGUAAACAAGUACCGUGAGGGAAAGUUGAAAAGAACUCUGAAUAGAGAGUUAAAUAGUACGUGAAACUGCUUAGAGGUUAAGCCCGAUGAACCUGAAUAUCCGUUAUGGAAAAUUCAUCAUUAGAGUUGUAAUAUUUAAACAAUAUUAUAAUAAUAGUGUGCAUUUUUUCCAUAUAAGGACAUUGUAAUCUAUUAGUAUCAAAAAUUUAUCAAAAAAUUUAAGACCAAAAGCUUAUUUAAAUUAAAAUGCUUGCAUUUUAACAUAAAAUAAAUAUCAUAAAUUUGAUAAAGUGCUGAUAGAUUUAUAUGAAUACAGUGCGUUAAUUUUUCGGAAUUAUAUAAUGGCAUGAUUAUCAUUGAUUUUUAUGUUUAUUAUAUGCACUUGUAUGAUAACAAUGCGAA